UGAAACUUCCAUCCAGUGGGUAUUGUCCUACUUUUAAAUUGGUUCAAAAUAGGAUCAUCAAGGUAUCUAGAUAUCCAUGGCAAAGAAUCAGCUCUUUUCUAAUCAAUGAGUUUUGCUGGUGGUUAAGUAUAUAUUUCAAUGGUCCGUGUAAAGGAAACAACAGUAGACAAAGAAAAUUGUAUUUCUCGGCUGACUGUAUUGUCUUUCCUGAGGACCCUCAUCAUAACAACUUUUUCUCUGGUGACAGAUUUCCAAUGAAUCACCCUGAAGUAGUACCUGCAAUGACGUUGCACACACUAUUCUCUGCAAUCAGCUGUGCGAAGACAGCUGUCACUCCUCUUCGUCACUAAAGGGAAUCCCAGUCUGAUGGCAGCAGUCCCAUGGUAAGAUCUGGUCUGCAGAGAAGAACCAUCACAGAACUCUCCAAGAAUAUAUUUAUCAAAGCCAUGUGGAAGAGAGUAUCCUCUGGACCAUCCCAGGAUGAUUCCUGGCCACAGCAAAGAGGAAGCUUGGGUUUGCAUGUCCAGGACCUCCACCCUAAGUAUUCAGGCACUCUUUUUGACAUCAUUGCUGUUGUUACUUAGGUGUAUCUCCUUGGUUGUGUUUCUCCAUUCUGCUAUAAAAACUGAGAAAACACAGAUCUUAACGAUGCUGUGAACUUGAUAAGCAUUUAAUUGAAUCCUCCAAAUAUAAAAUUUUAAGUGGUCAUCUUAAACAUAGCAAGACUUGAAUUUAAAGUAUUAUACCAAAUCAAACAGUGGCCAGAUGGCGA